ACAGCGCAGCGCAGCUCAGCACAGUGUAGCGCAGCAGUAUGAACGACCCUUGGUUGCGAAAGAAUUGUUCAGGUGCGAGAUACCACGUACCACCCAACCCUGCUUAUUAACACGUGGAAGAUUCACUUUGACUACUCGUAACUCAACGACGCUCGAGGAGGCUGUCGCUUUAAAAUUUCCAAUAUCGAGCAUAUUCGCGUCGUAUGCGUGGCUCAUUAAAAUAAGGCACAACAUGGCGCACCGAACUAUUCUACAAGGAAAGAUUCAUCAAGGAUCGUGCCAUUUUAAGAAGUCAACCAAUCCGAUUUGGAGUGAAAACGAGCAUAUACACUGUGCUAAUUGACGAGCCACGAUCUUUCAGGCAAUCGGAAAGAACCGCUCUAAUCGACAAGUACACAAAUUUGGUAAAAGUGGGCAUGGACUUUUUAAAGGUCAACCUACAAGAAUCGGAGAAACUUGGACCAAUCUACGAAUAUCACGAAAACCAGUUCGCACGGCAAUGUUAAUUUACCUAUUUGCUACUUGCAAUUUUACAUUUGCCAAAAUCCGGUGCAAGUUACCGAAGAAAAUUUGCUAAAUAUAUACGCAGUAGUAAAAAUACGCUUGUAAAAAUGAAAAUAAUAUUUUUUUAACUAUACCUACGUAAUAAACUACAAUAUUAUUGAACAA